AUUGAACGCUGGCGGCAGGCCUAACACAUGCAAGUCGAGCGAGCGGCGGACGGGUGAGUAAUGUCUGGGAAACUGCUUGAUGGAGGGGGAUAACUAAUGGAAACGGUAGUUAAUACUGCAUACAAUCAAAUGUGCGCCGGUGGGAUUAGUUAGUAGGUGGGGUAAAGGCCCACCAAGGCGACGAUCCCUAGCUGGUCUGAGAGGAUGAUCAGCCACACUGGAACUGAGACACGGUCCAGACUCCUACGGGAGGCAGCAGUGGGGAAUAUUGCACAAUGGGCGCAAGCCUGAUGCAGCCAUGCCGCGUGGGUGAAGAAGGUCUUCGGAUUGUAAAGCACUUUCAGCGGGGAGGCGUUACCCGCAGAAGAAGCACCGGCUAACUCCGUGCCAGCAGCCGCGGUAAUUC
rnacentral:rRNA from 1 species